AGAGUUUGAUCCUGGCUCAGAACGAACGCUGGCGGCAGGCCUAACACAUGCAAGUCGAGCGCCCAGCAAUGGGAGCGGCAGACGGGUGAGUAACACGUGGGAACCUUCCCUAUAGUACGGAAUAGCCCAGGGAAACUUGGAGUAAUACCGCAUACGCCCGAGAGGGGAAAGAUUUAUCGCUAUAGGAUGGGCCCGCGUAGGAUUAGCUAGUUGGUGAGGUAAUGGGCUCACCAAGGCGACGAUCCUUAGCUGGUCUGAGAGGACGACCAGCCACACUGGGACUGAGACACGGCCCAGACUCCUACGGGAGGCAGCAGUGGGGAAUAUUGGACAAUGGGCGCAAGCCUGAUCCAGACCAUGCCGCGUGAGUGAUGAAGGCCUUAGGGUUGUAAAGCUCUUUUGCCGGGGACGAUAAUGACGGUACCCGGAGAAUAAGUCCCGGCUAACUUCGUG
rnacentral:rRNA from 1 species